CACGCAAAUACAUAAGAAGGAGCCAGUGCCUAGGUCAUCAGUAAGUACACAACGUUAAAGUAAAAGUAACGUUAUUCGCUACUGCUAUUGCAACAGUCAGAAUGUCAACAUCAAACAAUUGGCUGUUGAAAUAUUUUAACAAGUCUAAGUUUCAAGCAAAAUGUAUAUUAUGUCCAUAUACUACUACGUACUACGAUAUGGAACCAGCAAAUUAUCAUUUCAAUCAACAACAUGCAAAUACAUCAAGACCGAAAGAUUUUCGGACAGAGCAGUAUUUCAAAAAUUCUAGUAAUUCUCGCAAACGCUGGCAAUGUAAAUCUUGUCCAAAAACUUAUUCGAAGAAAAUACCGACGGCAAAAUUACGUAAUCAUUUGCAAUCUACACAUGAUAUAGUUAUAGCAGAACAAGAAUUAUGUUAUGAGGGCGAUAUACACAGAAGCAUAUUAAACAGCAUGAUGAUUAUAGCGCGAAGUGUAACAAAUGUGGUCAGAUUAUAAAGUUAAGCCUUUCCUGUGCAUUAAAAAACCAUAUAUACGUAAAUCAUAACAAAGAAUACAAGUGCGAAGAAAUGAAUGAAAAUGAACAAAGAGAAAUCAGUAUGACUGGGCCAUCGACAAGUGCAUGAUAACUUUAAAGGCAAAAACAAUGAAUGUGUCGUGUGUCAAAUUAUUGUAAAAUGCUACCAAACGAAAUCCGUCAAUACAUAUUUGAGGAAAAAACGUCGAAACAUAAAUACAAAAAGAAAAAGUUCAAUGGACAUAAACCAUUUCGAGAAAAUUGCCAAUUCAUAUGUAUAAUGCAACUUGUGUCCUUACAACUAUACAAGCGUAGUUACGAUAAACAUUAAGCAGAUAUUUAUUAUCUUAACAUAACACACUUUCAAAAGAAAAAAACACAACUUAUUAUAUACUUUUACAUAAAAGCAUCUUAAACAGAAUAAUGAUUAUUGCGCGUAGGAUAAAGAGUGUGGUCGGUUCUAAAGCUUAGCUUUUCGAAUGACCUAAUGAGCACAUUUUCAAACGACAUCUAGAUACGUGAGCAGUAGAACAUGACACAAAUACACAAGGAGAAGCCAGUGUGCCUAGGUCAUCAAUAAGUACACAACGUUAAAGUAAAAGUAACGUUAUUCGCCAUUGCUAUUGCAACAGUAAAAAUGUCUACAUUAAACAACUGGGCGUUGAAAUAUUUUACAAUGUCUGAACAAUUUGAAGCAAAAUGUACAACCUGUGCAUAUACUCUUACAUACCGCGAUGUGCAACCCAUCCGUGAUCAUUUCAACCAACAGCAUUCAAAUACAGAAAAAGAGUAUGUUAUUUGGAAAAAGCAUUUCAAAAGUUAUAGCUAUUCACACUGGAAAUGCAUUUAUUGUCCGCAAACUUAUUUGAGAACAACACGGACCAACGAAUUAUGUAAACAUUUGCAAUCUGAGCAUAACAUAUGUCCAAUAAUAAAAUUCCCAUAUUAUUUUGGCCCUGUAGAGGAGCUUAUUCAACGGUGUGAUGAUAAUAACGCGCAGUGUAUGAUAUGUUAUCUGAUUAUGGAGUUUAACCUAUCCCGUAUUCUAAAAAAACACAUGUUCAAUCAUCAUUUCAGCAUAUGGAUAAACGAAGAAAAGAAUGCAAAUAAACAAUUAAAAAUCAAUAUGUCUGGGCCAUCGACAAGUGCAUCAUAACUUUAAAGGCAAAAACAAUGAACAAAUUUUGAUGACGGUUCUAUAUUCAAAAAGAUACUAUGGUUCUACGGUUCUACAUACAAAAACAACAAUCUCGACUUUGAUGAUUUAAAUAAUUUGAAAUGUCUCAGAAAAACUGUCAAUACAUCUAUGACAUGUAUAUAAUCAA
rnacentral:lncRNA from 1 species